rnacentral:miRNA from 1 species
CCAUGAUAACUGUGAUAGUAGUGAGGGUGAUAGUUAUUUCUUUCUGGUUCAUAAAGAGUUAUGGACCAGAAAGAAAUAACUAUCACCAUCACUACCAUCAUCACCA